rnacentral:rRNA from 1 species
GUAGGUGGCAAGCGUUGUCCGGAAUUAUUGGGCGUAAAGCGCGCGCAGGCGGUCCUUUAAGUCUGAUGUGAAAGCCCACGGCUCAACCGUGGAGGGUCAUUGGAAACUGGGGGACUUGAGUACAGAAGAGGAAAGCGGAAUUCCAAGUGUAGCGGUGAAAUGCGUAGAGAUUUGGAGGAACACCAGUGGCGAAGGCGGCUUUCUGGUCUGUAACUGACGCUGAGGCGCGAAAGCGUGGGGAGCAAACAGGGAUUAGAUACCCUGGUAGUCCACGCCGUAAACGAUGAGUGCUAAGUGUUGGGGGGGUUUCCCGCCCCUUAGUGCUGCAGCUAACGCAUUAAGCACUCCGCCUGGGGAGUACGGCCGCAAGGCUG